UUUUGAAUUUUUUUGGAUUUUGGAAUAUUUGUAUUAUACUCACUGGUUGAGCAUUCCAAACCAAAAAAUCUGAAAUCCGAAAUGCUCCAACGAACAUCUCCUUU